rnacentral:rRNA from 1 species
CACGUAGGGUGCGAGCGUUGUCCGGAAUUAUUGGGCGUAAAGAGCUCGUAGGCGGUGUGUCGCGUCGGCCGUGAAAACCUGCAGCUUAACUGUGGGCUUGCGGUCGAUACGGGCAUCACUGGAGUUCGGCAGGGGAGACUGGAAUUCCUGGUGUAGCGGUGAAAUGCGCAGAUAUCAGGAGGAACACCGGUGGCGAAGGCGGGUCGCUGGGACGGUACUGACGCUGAGGAGCGAAAGCGUGGGGAGCGAACAGG